rnacentral:rRNA from 1 species
AUUGAACGCUGGCGGCAUGCCUUACACAUGCAAGUCGAACGGUAACAGGUCUUCGGAUGCUGACGAGUGGCGGACGGGUGCGUAAUACAUCGGAACGUGCCCGAUCGUGGGGGAUAACGAGGCGAAAGCUUUGCUAAUACCGCAUACGAUCUACGGAUGAAAGCGGGGGAUCUUCGGACCUCGCGCGGACGGAGCGGCCGAUGGCAGAUUAGGUAGUUGGUGGGAUAAAAGCUUACCAAGCCGACGAUCUGUAGCUGGUCUGAGAGGAUGAUCAGCCACACUGGGACUGAGACACGGCCCAGACUCCUACGGGAGGCAGCAGUGGGGAAUUUUGGACAAUGGGCGAAAGCCUGAUCCAGCCAUGCCGCGUGCAGGAUGAAGGCCUUCGGGUUGUAAACUGCUUUUGUACGGAACGAAAAGCCUCUUUCUAAUAAAGAGGGGUCAUGACGGUACCGUAAGAAUAAGCACCGGCUAACUACGUG